GGCUUUAUAGUCUAAUUAUAAUGACAUUAGGUUGCAAAUCUAAAGGUGUAUUUAUGCUAAAGCUU
rnacentral:tRNA from 1 species